rnacentral:rRNA from 1 species
CAGCCGCCGCGGUAAUACAGAGGGUGCGAGCGUUAAUCGGAAUUACUGGGCGUAAAGCGCGCGUAGACGGUUUUGUAAGUCAGAUGUGAAAUCCCUGGGCUCGACCUGGGAACUGCAUUUGAUACUGCAUGGCUAGAGUAUCGAAGAGGGAAGUGGAAUUUCCGGUGUAGCGGUGAAAUGCGUAGAUAUCGGAAGGAACACCAGUGGCGAAGGCGACUUCCUGGUCGAAUACUGACGUUCAUGUGCGAAAGCGUGGGGAGCAAACAGGAUUAGAUACCCGUGUAGUCCCUGUCUCUUAUAC